rnacentral:lncRNA from 1 species
GGUCGGAACAGCAGCUGGCCGUUCAUUCAGAGCUGUGACUCAAUGAGCUAGAGUAGUGAAUGCAGUCCUAAAUUCUGCAUGAAAGACAUACUCAUCAAUAGAAUCUGGCUGGAUGGGCUGAGGUGCUGACUAAUUCCUUGUCCCUCUUUCGUUAGCCCUUUUAUGAGGCAUGUUCUUUAAACGAAAGGGAGAGUUGAUUUGACCAAGAGUUAAAUUCAAGCUUAUGCUCACUGGCAUGACAUAAAUAUUGAAUGAAGGGAAAUUGUUCCUAAAACAUCUCAUAGCCUCCUGUACAUAAGUGUGGUGCACAACACACCCAAGCACAAGACUAUACUAGAUGCG